rnacentral:rRNA from 1 species
UACGGAGGGUGCAAGCGUUAUCCGGAUUCACUGGGUUUAAAGGGUGCGUAGGUGGGUUGGUAAGUCAGCGGUGAAAUCUCCGUGCUUAACAUGGAAACUGCCAUUGAUACUACUGAUCUUGAAUUUUCUGGAGGUAAGCGGAAUAUGUCAUGUAGCGGUGAAAUGCUUAGAUAUGACAUAGAACACCAAUUGCGAAGGCAGCUUGCUACGGAUUGAUUGACACUGAGGCACGAAAGCGUGGGGAUCAAACAGG